CUCAUCAAACCCCAUUUUAUUUUUCUCUCACCAUUUUCUCUUUCAUUAAAACCUCCACAUUCUCUCUCAUCAAACUACAAUUUUCUCUCAUCAAAUUACAUAUUUAUCUCUCUUUACACCUCCAAUUUGACUCCGAUGGAUUCCAUAGUGACGGUUACUCAUGCGAUUUCGGCGAAUUUCUAGUCGGAUUCGUCGAAUUUCUGGUCAGAUCUGUCGAAUUUUUGGUCGGAUGUGUCAAAUUUUGGUCAGAUCUGUCGAUUUUUUGGUCGAAUCUGUCGAAUUUCUGAUCGAUUCCGACGAAUUUUUGAUCAGAUCCGUCGAAUAUCUUUCUCCUCUCUUUACGCCAAUCCAUGUUUAUUUGUAUGAAAUUUGAAGGAAAAGGUUAAUAUGAAUGUGCCAACAAAAGAAAAAAACCGAUUCGAAAUGGAAGAUGUGGUAUUAAGAUAGGCUGCAAGAAUUGAAGGUAAAAACAACAAGAAAAGAAUCCGCAAAUAAGGAAGCAGAUAGAAAGAGAAAAAAGACCGGUCUAGCGAAAAAGUGGAAGCCGAAAGGAAAGAAGCAAAAAAUUUAGAAUCAUAUAGAAAUAGAACUAAAAUAGAAGAAGCAAAUAGAAAAAUAGAUGAUAUGUUCAUUUUUUGAACAUGAAUGUUCAUUAAGUUAGGUAGUGUUCUCUUCACCUGAAUUUCACUUAUCUUAUCUUAUUGACCCUGAACUUAUCUUAUCUUAUCUUAUCUUAUUGACCCUUAUCUUAUCU